rnacentral:rRNA from 1 species
UAGUAGACAGAAGCUUCGGUGGAAGAUUACUAAUGAGAGUGGCGAACGGGUGACGUAACGCGUGAGCAACCUGCCUAUGACAGUGGGAUAGCCUCGGGAAACCGGGAUUAAUACCGCAUAAAAUCGUAGAAACACAUGUUUUAACGGUCAAAGAUUUAUCGGUCAUAGAUGGGCUCGCGUCUGAUUAGCUAGUUGGUGAGAUAACAGCUCACCAAGGCGACGAUCAGUAGCCGGUCUGAGAGGAUGAACGGCCACCAUUGGAACUGAGACACGGUCCAAACUCCUACGGGAGGCAGCAGUGGGGAAUAUUGCACAAUGGGGGAAACCCUGAUGCAGCGACGCCGCGUGAACGAAGAAGGUAUUCGUAUCGUAAAGUUCUGUCCUAUGGGAAGAUAAUGACAGUACCAUAGAAGAAAGCUCCGGCUAAAUACGUGCCAGCAGCCGCGGUAAUACGUAUGGAGCGAGCGUUGUCCGGAAUUAUUGGGCGUAAAGGGUACGCAGGCGGUUUAAUAAGUCGAAUGUUCGAAGAUCGGGGCUCAACCCCGUAAAGCAUUGGAAACUGAUAAACUUGAGUAGUGGAGAGGAAAGUGGAAUUCCUAGUGUAGUGGUGAAAUACGUAGAUAUUAGGAGGAAUACCAGUAGCGAAGGCGACUUUCUGGUCUGUAACUGACGCUGAUGUGCGAAAGCGUGGGGAUCAAACAGGAUUAGAUACCCUGGUAGUCCACGCCGUAAACGAUGAGUGCUAAGUGUUAGGGGGUUUCCGCCCCUUAGUGCUGCAGCUAACGCAUUAAGCACUCCGCCUGGGGAGUACGACCGUCAAGGUUGA